AAGCGGCCGCCACCAGUCCAUCCUAUCCUGCCGCUGCCGGAGGGGCUAGCGGAAGUCCGGUAACCAGAAGGGCGGUGGAGGUGGGGCGAUGCCUCCGCGGCCGGCGUGGCUUGGCACGGCCAGCAUGGAUCUGUCGAAGCGGUGACCGAAUCCAGCCUCCCAACGUGUGGAUCCAUCAAUCUCCAAUUCAACAUGGAGGGGCCACUGCAACGUUGGGGCAUGGGAGGCAGGUGCAGCAUCCCUGAAGAUAUAUCAGGUUGAUUUAUUCACUGUGCCUCCUCGUGGAUUGCUCAGGCGACCACCCGUUCCGUCUAUUCGUCCCAUCGGCAGCGCACACUUUCCGUCGAUCAACACGUUCAGGACUCCGGCAGUGCUCAUAUUCGCGACCGAUGACGGUCGAGAGCCUGAUCUGGUGGUUCCUUCACCGAAUAUGGCGUCCACCUGUACAAAUUGCCUGAUGCGCUAGCAAUGGCGGGCUGGGGUGGAUUUCGAUGUACAAGAC
rnacentral:lncRNA from 1 species